UAAUACGAAGGGGGCUAGCGUUGUUCGGAAUUACUGGGCGUAAAGCGCGCGCAGGCGGUUCUUCAAGUCAGUGGUGAAAGCCCGGAGCUCAACUCCGGAAUUGCCAUUGAAACUGUAGAACUUGAGUACGAGAGAGGUGAGUGGAAUUCCCAGUGUAGAGGUGAAAUUCGUAGAUAUUGGGAAGAACACCGGUGGCGAAGGCGGCUCACUGGCUCGUAACUGACGCUCAGGCGCGAUAGCGUGGGGAUCAAACAGGAUUAGAUACCCUGGUAGUCCACGCCGUAAACGAUGGAUGCUAGCCGUUGGAUAGCUUGCUAUUCAGUGGCGCAGCUAACGCAUUAAGCAUCCCGCCUGGGGAGUACGGCCGCAAGGUUG
rnacentral:rRNA from 1 species